rnacentral:rRNA from 1 species
CGGUAGUAAUACAUCGGUUCGUCCCAGCGCUGGGGAUAACUACUCGAAAGAGUAGCUAAUACCGCAUACGAUCUGAGGAUGAAAGCGGGGGACCUNNCCUCGCGCGAUUGGAGCGGCCGAUGGCAGAUUAGGUAGUUGGUGGGAUAAAAGCUUACCAAGCC